UACGGGGGGGAGCAAGCGUUGUUCGGAUUUACUGGGCGUAAAGGGCGCGUAGGCGGCCACGUGAAGUCGACUGUGAAAUCUCCGGGCUUAACCCGGAAAGGUCAGCCGAUACUGCGGAGCUAGAGUGCAGAAGGGGCAACUGGAAUUCUCGGUGUAGCGGUGAAAUGCGUAGAUAUCGAGAGGAACACCUGCGGCGAAGGCGGGUUGCUGGGCUGACACUGACGCUGAAGUGCGAAAGCUAGGGGAGCGAACGGG
rnacentral:rRNA from 1 species